rnacentral:lncRNA from 10 species
GAGAUAUGUGUUAUGUCUGGAUCUGGCCACUGCUUAGGACAACUUCGUGCAUCAGCAGCUCACGCUGCUGAUGCAACACAGGUGAAGAGCACCUUCCCCUCCCCCACCUGUGGGCUGAUUCCCACCACGUGGAUCCCAAGGCCAUCCCAGGAACUCUUUGGAGGGGAGAAGCCCAGUGGAAACUGUCAGGCCUCUGAGCACAAGCCAAGCCAUCGCAUCCCCUGUGACUUGCACGUAUAUGCCCAGAUGGCCUGAAGUAACUGAAGAAUCACAAAAGAAGUGAAAAGGCCCUGCCCCACCUUAACUGAUGACAUUCCACCAUUGUGAUUUGUUCCUGCCCCACCUUCACUGAGUGAUUAACCCUGUGAAUUUCCUUCUCCUGGCUCAGAAGCUCCCCCACUGAGCACCUUGUGACCCCCGCCCCUGCCCACCAGAGAACAACCCCCUUUGACUGUAAUUUUCCAUUACCUUCCCAAAUCCUAUAAAACGGCCCCACCCCUAUCUCCCUUCGCUGACUCUCUUUUCGGACUCAGCCCGCCUGCACCCAGGUGAAAUAAACAGCCAUGUUGCUCACA